CAACCCCAACUGGGGCAGAGAGCUCUGGGGCGCAGGGGCCACCCAGCAGUAAGAUUUAGGCAAAGUUGCCACAGGGGGAAAGUUUGGAAAGUGUUCUGGGUCCUAUGAGUACUCCAGCAUGGGAAAAAAGAUGGUGAGGAGGGACCUAGAUUAAGCUGGGGAAAAUCGUGAAAGGUUCUCAAUGGAAGAUGGAGGUGUCUAGACUUUAUGCAGUUAUGUUGAAUCACAACUGAAGAAGUGUUUAAGCCACUUAGGCUUCCAGGAACUACUGUUGGAGCACUUCCGAUGAAGGUGAAGCCGAGAAAGAAAUCACAAGUGGCUUAAGUGUUUACAAAGAACUGAUGGUGGCCAAAGGACACUGCUGAAGACUGGGAAGAGGAAGUCCCCACUGAUGUCAAUGGUGCAGCAGCCGGAAGGGACUCACAGUGGCCUUGAGUAGAGAUGUCUGUGUGGUUUAAGGGGAUGGGCCCAUCAGAAGUAGGAGAGAGUACUUGAUAAUCUACUCUCUAGUCCAUAAUCUCAGGCUUGGAAAACUGCCAUGGGACUUGGCUUUUGUCAACCAUUGAGUUGCCCUGGGAGACCCCCAAAAUUGAACUAACUCUAUGAAAACGAGCCCUGUGAACUUUAGCAUUCAUCUCAGUGGGGAGCAGUGCCUACACACCCGACCCAAUGCUGCAAAGAGAUUAUACUAUUGCUCAGCAUUUCCAAAAGGCUAUUCCGGGGACUAUUAUUCCGACAAUAUUAAGGGAAGGGUACUGUGGAAAAAAGUCAUCUAUGUUCAAGCAAGUCUAGAAAAUACGUAAAUAGAGUGAAGAUGUUUAUUUUCUACAGGUUUUUUCAACUGCUAUCCUGAAUUGUGCAUCUCUAAGAGGGAGACUGUGUAUAUUUUAAAAGUCAGGUGCACG